rnacentral:lncRNA from 1 species
CUGAAACUGGUUUGGGCCAGAAAGCCAUGCUUCAUUUAGUCACAAAGGACUUUUUACUAACUUUUGAACCCCUGGUCUGAUUCAUGUCAUUUUUUAAUAUGCUGUUCCCCUGAAUGGAUUGAUUGUGAAUAUGUAAUUUUAGGUGAAUGUGAUGUAUGGUUUUAGAGUUAUGAAAGUUGGGUAGAAAGUAUGUUUUAACUGUAUGUGUAAUUGAGUUUCCUCUCAGGAUAAGGGGAGGGAAUAUGUGGGAUGUAACUGUGAUGUGAUUGGUUGUUUUAUACCUCCCUGUGGGCGGUCCUGUAUUUGCAAGACUGUAAUAAAAACCAGGCUGGGUGUGCCAGCACCUCAGAC